rnacentral:lncRNA from 1 species
UGAAGACUCGUGUCAGUCCCUUCGGCCUCUGACGGGUCGCAGCUUCAGUUCAGCCGUUCACUAAAAUGAUGGGAAGCUGCGAGGGCCUGUCCUCCUCUUUGCACAGAUCCAGAUACGUCAGCUGGUGUGUGGACUCUGCAGAGUCACCAACACCUGAAGCUACACCUCUGACAGCAGCAGAGGAAUCGUCACGCCGAAACCAUCAGCCAGCUGGUUCAGGACUGGUCCCGCUUCUCCUUGUGUCCCCACCAGAAACCAGAGUAGGAGAAGCAAACAAAACCCUUCCCCAUCGACGCUCACAGCCAACGCUCACAAAGAGGACACAUCCACGCUCCCGUCGGUCCCGGUCCAAGCCUCGCUGCAGCUCUGCUCUGCACGACAACGUUAACAAAGCCUCCAAAAGUCAUGCUGAGGAUGAUGGCGAUGAUGGGAGGGAACGGAGAAACAAAGAGGACUCGUCUCUUCUCCAUCCAGGGAGCAGAAACUUCCUGCUUCCCAGAAGCAGUCCGGUCAUCUCCAGACGCCACAGGCCCGUUUCCUGGCACGACCUGCGCACCGACACCACUGACCCAUCAAGCUCCGACUCCCCGUCCCCUGCUUCUGGUUCGCUGUCUCUGGAUCAGUGUGGACGCCUGGCAGACACCAGCGUGGAGGAUGUGGGACCCAGAGUGAACUCCUGUCACCAGCCGUCCCCUCGGGAGGACAAGAAGCCGCGCUGUGUCUCCGCCUCAACACAUCCCAACCAUCUCCAGCUUCCCUUCGGUGGACAGCCGGGGCAAGGCUCUGAUGCCCCCUACUCAUCAGGCCUCUCUACCUCAACACAACCCAGCAAAGAAAGAGGGAGCAGUGGUAUCUCCGAAUUCGCUGCAGACAUCUUUAAGAGCAGUUGUGAGCUGGAAAAGGAGAAUGCUCAUUUCGUCGUGGUGGACAUGGUGCUGGAGGUGCUGGAAGCUGUGAAGUGGAAUCUGAGUUAUGAGGGGUGGACACACUGCGACAUGUGCACAGACAGACACAGGAGCGCGGCGGAGGACGAACAGAGACACGUGCAGAUCUGCAGUUUAGGCGAUCCUACACAAGACAACACCAAGACAUCACAGACAAACACACACUCCUGUGCGCACACACACCGACGCACGCAGGAUGAAGAGGAAGCUGAACAUCUGCCAAAGACUUUCUCUGUCCUCUCCAAUGACAGCGGGUUUGAAGACUAUGUAGUCAACACGACACUGACACCGACACAUUUUCUCACAAAGUAA